rnacentral:rRNA from 1 species
GACGAACGCUGGCGGCGUGCUUAACACAUGCAAGUCGAACGGAAAGGCCCCUUUGGGGGUCCUCGAGUGGCGCACGGGUGAGUAACACGUGAGUAACCUGCCCUUGACUUCGGGAUAACUUCAGGAAACUGGGGCUAAUACCGGAUAGGAAUCCUUGCUGCAUGGUGGGGGUUGGAAAGCUUCGGCGGUUUUGGAUGGACUCGCGGCUUAUCAGCUUGUUGGUGGGGUAGUGGCUUACCAAGGCUUUGACGGGUAGCCGGCCUGAGAGGGCGACCGGCCACAUUGGGACUGAGAGACGGCCCAGACUCCUACGGGAGGCAGCAGUGGGGAAUAUUGCACAAGGGGCGGAAGCCUGAUGCAGCAACGCCGCGUGCGGGAUGACGGCCUUCGGGUUGUAAACCGCUUUCAGCAGGGGCGAAGCUUGUGGUGACGGUACCUGCAGAAGAAGCACCGGCUAACUACGUG